UACGGAGGGUGCAAGCGUUGUCCGAAAUCACUGGGCGUAAAGGGCGCGUAGGUGGCGUCGUAAGUCUGUGGUGAAAGCCCGGAGCUCAACUCCGGGUCUGCCGCGGAUACUGCGAGGCUUGAGUGCUGUAGAGGGGGGUAGAAUGCCGGGUGUAGCGGUGGAAUGCGUAGAGAUCCGGAGGAACACCAAAGGCGAAGGCAGUGUCCUGGGGAGUACCUGACGCUCAGGUGCGAAAGCCAGGGGAGCGAACGGG
rnacentral:rRNA from 1 species